AACUGCUCCAGUGGCUAAGUGGUUAGAGCAUCUGCCUCUGAUGAAGGAGGUCAAGGGUUCAAAACCUGGCUCAGUCA